rnacentral:rRNA from 1 species
GACGAACGCUGGCGGCGUGCUUAACACAUGCAAGUCGAACGGAAAGGCCCUGCUUUUGUGGGGUGCUCGAGUGGCGAACGGGUGGGUAACACGUGAGUAACCUGCCCUUGACUUUGGGAUAACUUCAGGAAACUGGGGCUAAUACCGGAUAGGAGCUCUUGCUGCAUGGUGGGGUUGGAAAGUUUCGGCGGUUGGGGAUGGACUCGCGGCUUAUCAGCUUGUUGGUGGGGUAGUGGCUUACCAAGGCUUUGACGGGUAGCCGGCCUGAGAGGGUGACCGGCCACAUUGGGACUGAGAUACGGCCCAGACUCCUACGGGAGGCAGCAGUGGGGAAUAUUGCACAAUGGGCGGAAGCCUGAUGCAGCAACGCCGCGUGCGGGAUGACGGCCUUCGGGUUGUAAACCGCUUUCGCCUGUGACGAAGCGUGAGUGACGGUAAUGGGUAAAGAAGCACCGGCUAACUACGUG